UUUUAAUCCUGACCCAAGAUUAUUUUUUCCAUUGAUUUUUAGAGAGAGUGGAAGCGAGGGGGACAGAGAGAAACAUCGACGUGAGACACAUUGAUUGGUUGCCUCCUGCACACUCUCCGACCCUGGCUGAGGAUCAAGCUUGUAAAGAAUGUUCGUGCCCUUGACUGGAAUAGAACUGUGACCCUUCAGUCUGAGAGCCAGUGUUCUAACCACUGAGAAACCCUGCGAGGGCUAAAGAUAUCUCCUGCUCUUUGAAAGUUCAUGUUAUGCUGCUUCACUUUUAUGAAAGAUCUACAUUAUUGUUUUUACCAAAUGAAAGAAAUUUGAAGAGGAUUUUCAUUUUUAUGAAAAUGUCAAAAAGCAGUGAGUGUUUAUUUUGCAGCAAACCACUAUGGCGGCAGCAUGCACUCCAAGCAGCAGGUGGCACCACCAAACUCGCUCUCCAGGACCGACACUCAGCAUCUCAGCACCAGGCCACCGGAGCUUCGAGCUGUCUGGGUUUUGCUGCAGAAAAACAAAUGAUGAGAGAAGAAUAGGGACCCACACUUACCUGUGCACACAGCCUCCUGAGUGUUAACUCUUCCUGGGAAAAUGAUCUUGUUGGAGCGCCUCCUUUCCGCCGUUCGGUCAGCUGGUCCAGGAAUUGGCAGGUGGGGAGCUGGCCCCAUCAGUCUUGUCACUGCUCAUUCUGCUGGCCCUCUGUGACCGAAGCAGACACGGAGCCCUGGCCCUUGUUGACAUCACUGAUGCACACCCACUGCCCGUCGACGGACUCCUUCCACAGGGUCACCUGCAAGCCAGCACACAGCAGGUGCGGCUCUUCCAGAGGGAGGAGAGCACUGGGUGACACCAGAACCACAAGAGAUUGUAGGUGAACCUGUGGGUCAACCACUGGGAAUCCGACUGAGAAGGGGCUUCCAGCAACCAGCACUCAGAUCUUCGCAGACCUAGUUCCUACCUGCAGAAUCCAACCGGGCCCAGACUGACAGGGAACUUGGUGAGUGCAGAUCGCCUAAUUCGGGUCCCCAAACAAGAGUUUUGCCUACUUUUAUAAGUCACAGCCCUACCUGCUGCAGGAAGAGCCAGGAAGAAAACCUCGAAUCCACAUGUUCCACCAACUGCAUAGCUGGGAGGAAGGGGGCAGGCAGAGCUGAGUACCUCCAGAGCAGAGCCAGUGGCCCUGUUCGGCCAUGGCAUCCACUGGGGCAGGGACUGGCUUGAGUCAAAGCCAUGAAGAACAUUAGAGCUGCCUUUCCUGCUGAGCCCAGGAAAGAAACUAAUUUGUAACUACACUUACUCCUGAAAACAGCUUCAGACCAGGGACCCCUCCCACAGCCCUGCUUCUGUGGCCCCGGAACAGAAAGCACAGACUAUGGCUGUUCCUGUCUCCAGAGCAAAACAAGUGACUCACCUGAAUAGACAUUCAGUAGGCUCUGGCCUGACUGGGGUCCCCAGUGAGUCUGGGUGUGUCCCAUUGUCCCACUCCAAAGCAGGGAGGCUGAUUCCCAGCCCCACCUACUAUUGAGUGGAACACGCAGUCCUGGCCAUGCAGUGAGUCUGACCAGGAAACCUGCCAGCAGUCAUACCUAGCUGUUCUCAGCCAAUGGCACACCCGCACCUCCCACCCCAGAGCUCCGACAGCUGCCUCACCCAAAGACGCAUCCUAACAGCCAGGGGUCUAUCUUUGCUAUGAGGACCCCAUCUGUCCAAAGAAAUUACCAACAGCCACGUCCACAAACCCAGACUGAACUCUCCGCCAGAGCGAGCCCGGAACCCGGAGGAGCCCACUCACUCAGGGGGCAGGGGCCAGGAGCACGAGAAACCCGGUAAACGACAGCACCAAGGAAACUAAUCCAGCUCCAGUACCUGAUACUAAAGAAAUGGAGGCUUUGAACUAUCAUAAAGAAUCCAGAAUACUUGAAGUUUAGUGAACCACAAGAAUAUACAACUAAAUGAGAUUAGUUAAAACAAUGCAUGAAUAACACGAAUUUUGGCAAAGCAACAGAAAACAUAAAAAAAACUCAAAAGCAGCCUCAACACUGUACAAGAAAGAACUAUGAUCUGAAAGAUAGGACAGUUGAAAGUAUCCAGUCAGAAGGACAAGAAGAAAGAAGAGCACAGAAAGCCCACAGGAAUUAUGGGACCUAAGGAAACCACCACCACA